GGUAGGGGAAUUCAGUGAUAUGAGUGUGACAGCUAAUCGCAUGCUUCAAGUUCAGCGUGAUUUCAACGAAGGAGUCAUCAUGUGAAUUGUGAAGCAUGUCUACCGAGAGAAAUGCUAACUUGCAGUUCUGCUUUUUGUAUUGAGCCUUCACCAAUGUAUAUUAUGGUGGGCCUCAUUGUGGGUCCUGCAUGGGGACCGCUUAAUGAUCGGCUGCAAUGGCAAAUUGGCAACGUGCAUGGAUGCAUCAAGCAGUGAUUUUCUGCCUAAAUAUCGCAUUACUUUUGUUGCCCAUUCAACUAGCUUGUUUAAAAUCCUUAUAUUUAUUAGCAUUUUAUAGGAUUGAAUGGGAAGUUGAUGUCUCAAUUCCUGGUUUAUUAUUAUUAUUACUUCUCUCAGUUUAGGGUUCCUUUCCCAUUGCGUACUAUGUUGACCAUUGUUUGGCAUGAGUACAUGGCAUGUUUGGUUGUUGGUUAGAGUGGCAGGCAGUAUUGCUGUUUCAGCUGCUAAUACCAAUAUUAGUAUUUAGUGAAUGAUCUGAAAUUGAUUUGUUGUCUGCAAUCUUUUUAGCUCAUUUCUGUAGGAAAAGCAUAUCUCUUAAACAUGUACUCCUCAAAGCUAUUAUAUUAACCACCAUUGCAUUUGUCUGUAAAUAAUUCUCAAACUUAAUACUGUUUGCUGGUGUUGCUCAUCUUUUUAUCCUUCAUCAGUCCCUGUCCCUGUUAUAACUUUUUGAAUGAGAAUUUCCAGUCCAGAUUUACUUAUACAUGCUCACAUUGCAACUUAGGCUGCAUUUAUUUUCCUGAAUAAUGUUUAUUGGUGUUUCGGCCUUUGGGGUGCUUAGGAAAAUCAUUUAAUGGAAAAACUAAGUUAUUUUAUUUUCAAGGAAAAUGACUCUCUCUUUGCCGUUGACAUCCAUAUUUUACUAUUUUUGUUUAAUUUUUCUCAUAUUCAUUAAUAAAUCAAAAAAUAUGAAGUUUAUGCAGGUUUAAAUAUUUUCAUAGUCAUGAAAAGAAAUUUAUAUUCUCCAAUUUAUUCCAAAUGCCAACAAUUAAUUUCCAGUUGAUUUUCUGUAUGGAAACCAAACAAAAAAAAUUAUUUUCUCAGUUGAUUUUCUGUAUGGAAACCAAACAAAAAAAAUUAUUUUCUUAGAAAAUGUUCUCUUUGGAAAAUAUUUUUCACAAACAAGUUAAUUUCCGUGAAACAUAUUGAGCUUAGAAGCAUAGUUAUUAAAGGCUCAAG
rnacentral:misc_RNA from 1 species